GCAGGUUGAAGGUUGGGUAACACUAACUGGAGGACCGAACCGACUAAUGUUGAAAAAUUAGCGGAUGACCUGUGGCUGGGGGUGAAAGGCCAAUCAAACCGGGAGAUAGCUGGUUCUCCCCGAAAGCUAUUUAGGUAGCGCCUCGUGAAUUCAUCUCCGGGGGUAGAGCACUGUUUCGGCUAGGGGGCCAUCCCGGCUUACCAACCCGAUGCAAACUGCGAAUACCGGAGAAUGUUAUCACGGGAGACACACGGCGGGUGCUAACGUCCGUCGUGAAGAGGGAAACAACCCAGACCGCCAGCUAAGGUCCCAAAGUCAUGGUUAAGUGGGAAACGAUGUGGGAAGGCCCAGACAGCCAGGAUGUUGGCUUAGAAGCAGCCAUCAUUUAAAGAAAGCGUAAUAGCUCACUGGUCGAGUCGGCCUGCGCGGAAGAUGUAACGGGGCUAAACCAUGCACCGAAGCUGCGGCAGCGACACUCAGGUGUUGUUGGGUAGGGGAGCGUUCUGUAAGCCUGCGAAGGUGGCCUGUGAGGGUUGCUGGAGGUAUCAGAAGUGCGAAUGCUGACAUAAGUAACGAUAAAGCGGGUGAAAAGCCCGCUCGCCGGAAGACCAAGGGUUCCUGUCCAACGUUAAUCGGGGCAGGGUGAGUCGACCCCUAAGGCGAGGCCGAAAGGCGUAGUCGAUGGGAAACGGGUUAAUAUUCCCGUACUUGGUGUUACUGCGAAGGGGGGACGGAGAAGGCUAUGUUGGCCGGGCGACGGUUGUCCCGGUUUAAGCGUGUAGGUGUGUGUUCCAGGUAAAUCCGGUU
rnacentral:rRNA from 1 species